rnacentral:rRNA from 1 species
UACGUAGGGUGCAAGCGUUGUUCGGAAUUAUUGGGCGUAAAGCGCACGUAGGCGGUUCGUUAAGUCGGAUGUGAAAGCCCUCGGCUCAACUGAGGAAGUGCACCCGAAACUGGCGAGCUUGAGUACGAAAGAGGAUCGCGGAAUUCCCGGUGUAGAGGUGAAAUUCGUAGAUAUCGGGAGGAACACCGGUGGCGAAGGCGGCGAUCUGGGUCGAUACUGACGCUGAGGUGCGAAAGCGUGGGGAGCAAACAGG